AGUACGGUCGCAAGAUUAAAACUCAAAGGAAUUGACGGGGACCCGCACAAGCGGUGGAGCAUGUGGUUUAAUUCGAUGCAACGCGAAGAACCUUACCUGGUCUUGACAUUCUGCGAACUUUCUAGAAAUAGAUUGGUGCCUUCGGGAACGCAGUGACAGGUGCUGCAUGGCUGUCGUCAGCUCGUGUCGUGAGAUGUUGGGUUAAGUCCCGUAACGAGCGCAACCCCUAUCCUUAUUUGCCAGCACAUCAUGGUGGGAACUAUAAGGAGACUGCCGGUGAUAAACCGGAGGAAGGCGGGGACGACGUCAAGUCAUCAUGGCCCUUACGACCAGGGCUACACACGUGCUACAAUGGGAAGGACAAAGAGCCGCGAAGCCGCGAGGUGUAGCUAAUCUCAUAAACCUUUUCGUAGUCCGGAUUGGAGUCUGCAACUCGACUCCAUGAAGUCGGAAUCGCUAGUAAUCGUAGAUCAGAAUGCUACGGUGAAUACGUUCCCGGGUCUUGUACACACCGCCCGUCAUACCAUGGGAGUGGGUUGCACCAGAAGUGGCUAGUCUAACUUUAUUGAGGACGGUCACCACGGUGUGAUUCAUGACUGGGGUAAAGUCGUAACAAGGUAACC
rnacentral:rRNA from 1 species